UACGGAGGAUCCAAGCGUUAUCCGGAUUUAUUGGGUUUAAAGGGUGCGUAGGCGGUUUAUUAAGUUAGAGGUGAAAUGUCGGUGCUCAACACCGGCGCUGCCUCUGAUACUGGUAAGCUAGAGUAUAGUUGCUGUGGGCGGAAUGUAUGGUGUAGCGGUGAAAUGCUUAGAGAUCAUACAGAACACCGAUUGCGAAGGCAGCUCACAAAGCUAUUACUGACGCUGAGGCACGAAAGCGUGGGGAGCAAAC
rnacentral:rRNA from 1 species